GGGAAACCCAGCAUGAGUUAUGUCAUGUUAUCGAUAUGUGAAUACAUAGCAUAUCAGAAGGCACACCCGGAGAACUGAAACAUCUUAGUACCCGGAGGAAGAGAAAGAAAAUUCGAUUCCCUUAGUAGCGGCGAGCGAAACGGGAAGAGCCCAAACCAACAAGCUUGCUUGUUGGGGUUGUAGGACACUCUAUACGGAGUUACAAAGGACGACAUUAGACGAAUCAUCUGGAAAGAUGAAUCAAAGAAGGUAAUAAUCCUGUAGUCGAAAAUGUUGUCUCUCUUGAGUGGAUCCUGAGUACGACGGAGCACGUGAAAUUCCGUCGGAAUCUGGGAGGACCAUCUCCUAAGGCUAAAUACUCUCUAGUGACCGAUAGUGAACCAGUACCGUGAGGGAAAGGUGAAAAGCACCCCGGAAGGGGAGUGAAAUAGAACCUGAAACCGUGUGCUUACAAGUAGUCAGAGCCCGUUAAUGGGUGAUGGCGUGCCUUUUGUAGAAUGAACCGGCGAGUUACGAUUUGAUGCAAGGUUAAGCAGUAAAUGUGGAGCCGUAGCGAAAGCGAGUCUGAAUAGGGCGUUUAGUAUUUGGUCGUAGACCCGAAACCAGGUGAUCUACCCUUGGUCAGGUUGAAGUUCAGGUAACACUGAAUGGAGGACCGAACCGACUUACGUUGAAAAGUGAGCGGAUGAACUGAGGGUAGCGGAGAAAUUCCAAUCGAACCUGGAGAUAGCUGGUUCUCUCCGAAAUAGCUUUAGGGCUAGCCUCAAGUGAUGAUUAUUGGAGGUAGAGCACUGUUUGGACGAGGGGCCCCUCUCGGGUUACCGAAUUCAGACAAACUCCGAAUGCCAAUUAAUUUAACUUGGGAGUCAGAACAUGGGUGAUAAGGUCCGUGUUCGAAAGGGAAACAGCCCAGACCACCAGCUAAGGUCCCAAAAUAUAUGUUAAGUGGAAAAGGAUGUGGCGUUGCCCAGACAACUAGGAUGUUGGCUUAGAAGCAGCCAUCAUUUAAAGAGUGCGUAAUAGCUCACUAGUCGAGUGACACUGCGCCGAAAAUGUACCGGGGCUAAACAUAUUACCGAAGCUGUGGAUUGUCCUUUGGACAAUGGUAGGAGAGCGUUCUAAGGGCGUUGAAGCAUGAUCGUAAGGACAUGUGGAGCGCUUAGAAGUGAGAAUGCCGGUGUGAGUAGCGAAAGACGGGUGAGAAUCCCGUCCACCGAUUGACUAAGGUUUCCAGAGGAAGGCUCGUCCGCUCUGGGUUAGUCGGGUCCUAAGCUGAGGCCGACAGGCGUAGGCGAUGGAUAACAGGUUGAUAUUCCUGUACCACCUAUAAUCGUUUUAAUCGAUGGGGGGACGCAGUAGGAUAGGCGAAGCGUGCGAUUGGAUUGCACGUCUAAGCAGUAAGGCUGAGUAUUAGGCAAAUCCGGUACUCGUUAAGGCUGAGCUGUGAUGGGGAGAAGACAUUGUGUCUUCGAGUCGUUGAUUUCACACUGCCGAGAAAAGCCUCUAGAUAGAAAAUAGGUGCCCGUACCGCAAACCGACACAGGUAGUCAAGAUGAGAAUUCUAAGGUGAGCGAGCGAACUCUCGUUAAGGAACUCGGCAAAAUGACCCCGUAACUUCGGGAGAAGGGGUGCUCUUUAGGGUUAACGCCCAGAAGAGCCGCAGUGAAUAGGCCCAAGCGACUGUUUAUCAAAAACACAGGUCUCUGCUAAACCGUAAGGUGAUGUAUAGGGGCUGACGCCUGCCCGGUGCUGGAAGGUUAAGAGGAGUGGUUAGCUUCUGCGAAGCUACGAAUCGAAGCCCCAGUAAACGGCGGCCGUAACUAUAACGGUCCUAAGGUAGCGAAAUUCCUUGUCGGGUAAGUUCCGACCCGCACGAAAGGCGUAACGAUUUGGGCACUGUCUCAACGAGAGACUCGGUGAAAUCAUAGUACCUGUGAAGAUGCAGGUUACCCGCGACAGGACGGAAAGACCCCGUGGAGCUUUACUGUAGCCUGAUAUUGAAA
rnacentral:rRNA from 1 species